UAAUUAGAUCCCCUUCUCCAACCCUCCGAUCCUUCUCAAAAGCCCGAACCGCCUCCGCCUUUCGCUCAAGCGAAGCAUCCCCUCCUCCUCCUCCACCACCCCUUCCCUUCCCCUUCCCUUUGCGGUCGGCGUCGUGGAUUGAUCGCCGCGGCGGGCGGCCAUGUGGGUCGAGAUACUGUGCGGCCUGGUGGCCUACAAGCUCAUCCGCGCCGUCUUCUUCUCCGACGACGGCCUCGACCAGCUCGCCGGCCUCGACUCCUCCCACUCCGAUCUCUGCUUCGCCGUCGCAGCCAGGCUCGAGAGGCUCUACGGCGGCCGCUGCUUCGUCGGCCUCCGCAUCCCCGACCCCGACGCCGGUGCGCGCCAGCAUGUCGACGUCGUUCUCGUCACCAAGAGGGAGGUCAUGGUGGUGGCAAUCAACAAUGUCUCUGGUUUUGUUGAGGUUGACAAGGAUGGUAACUGGUUCACUGAAAAGAAGCGCAAGCAGGAGGUUAUUCGAAACCCGGUACUAGAAGUCAGUAGGAUAGCUGCCAAUCUUCAAUCAUACUUGGAGCAGAGGGGAGCAACACUGCCUAACGGGAUUGUAAAUGGAAGAGUUGUACUGCCAAAUCCCAACUGCAGGCCUUCGUACACUAUUAAUCUUCAACCGGAGGUUAUCUCGUACGAUCAAUGGAAAGAUCUUAAGGCAGACACAAAAGGUGGACUUUCGACAUGGAUUAAAGGUGCAUUUCAUGGAAACAAAAGCGACAUCCAAGAUUCAUUACUCCAAAAUCUGUAUUCUAUUCUCAGCACGUCGCCUAUGUGGGACAGGUUGGAACUCAGAGGGGACAAAAAUGUCCUUGGUGAAUUCAUGGAAUUUAAAGGCAAGCAUGAAGACAUGCCACUCCUGAAAAAAGUGAAGAGAUCAAAAGUUAGCCGGUUUGUCAUCCAGAAAUCAACUCUUUUUGGAGGUUUUGGUAAGCCCUGUGUACUGUGUCUUCUUGCUAUUCUGUUUUGUACUCCCCAUGUUAGCAUAUUUUGUACUGUGAUUUGUUAUUGCUCUAGGUUGGCAGGGAAACGGUUGUGCUUCAAGUAGUUUUGGCACCUAUACUAAUGCCUAAUACUAGAUCGAUGCAUGAAAUGAAAAUAGAUGCAUGAAAGGCCUGUAGAUGUUAUGGCUACGUUCAUCCUGGUACUGUACAGGAAUUUAUUUUAUAAGAAAGCUCCAGUGAUAUGGUCAAUCGAGCAGAAGGUAAAAAUUCCUUCUCUUAGAAAAGGGAACUAAAAUGCUAGAUGAGUUCACAAGAAAAAAUAAAUUAAACAGCUAGUCCGCCCAGGCUGCUAAAUACCCACAAUGUGACUAGCAUUUGACAAAAGGCAUACGUCUUGGACUAGCAGCAGGGUGGCCGAAUAGAGGGAGAUCAGGUUCCAUUUAGGGAUUAGUGCUUUAUUAGGAAGACUAAGAUAAAGUGACCCUAAUCUGUUAAGGGGUCUGUAUUGUAUUAGGGAAGGCCCAAGGGAUAUGCACCACUAUAUAAGGAUGCUAUGUAUCUCAUUAAUGAAUCAUGCAAGAAAACAAUCUAUUCUUCUAAACAUUCUCAUCUCGAUCUAUGUUCCAACCAAUCCCCUGGAGGCUGGAGCCAUGCCGUCUAAGCUAUCUUAAGCACGGUAGUUAUCCUGUUGUGAAUCGAGGUUCACGACAGCAUCAUAACAAAAAUUGCAAUACUACGCUAGUAUAUUACUCCCUCUGUAAAAAAUAAAUAAGAGUGUUUAGAUCACUAAAGUAGUGAUCUAAACACUCUUAUAUUUCUUUACAGAGGGAGUACAAAUUUACAAGACCCCCUAGCUGCAGCACAAAAGAAGACCUCACAUUUGGUUAUCGCAACACCCUGCCAGCACCCAUGGGUGGGUUUCAUCAGAUAAUUAAGAGAAACAUCGACAGUCUCUUCAAAGUCAUCAUUCGUCUUGGCCCUUGUUAAUUAUCCCAUUGGCCACCUUCUUGAUACUCACAGCACCUUCAUGCAACACCAGACGCCCUUAUUCUUUCUGUAACAAGCCCCCAAAAUCGGGCCAACAGCAGAUUGAGAUAAUUACUUUGGAAGGAUCAGAUAAGAAUGGCUUUGGAAAAAGAGGCACCAUUGUUACUUUUAUCGAACUUGUUUGACCACUCACCCAAGCAUUGUUGAGCAUUGUCUGGCGUUUGAACAGGAUUAAAAGAACACAUAAUUUCACACUAGACAUACUUUCCUAAUGGAUAUGUAAAGAAGAUAUAAUCAGUUGUCUUAGUUGCAUUUAUUUUCAUUACUUAAUGUUCAUCACCCUUCCAACAUCACCUGAUCAAAUUAUCCUCUUCCAAGAUGCUAUUUAAGCACCAACCACAAGGAGAGUUUUAAUUCUCUAUUGUGCUUCACUACAUUGAUUUAAUCAGUUAACAGAAUCCGUAUCCAAAAUAACUAGCAUGGCUUGUUUUUUCUGUUAAAUCUGCUGGCUAAAAUGCUGUGAUCAAUUUGAAUGAGCCACAUCUGUUUGAUUUGGUUUGUCCCUUGCGCAAAUACAGGCAGGUCGCGAGUCCAAAUACUGUAUUCUCCUCGAGAUUACCGAGCUGAGGGCACUUCAUCUUCAGAAUGGAAAGAGAUCUCCGUGAAGCAGUACACCGAGAUUCAUUUCCAGCCGUUGCACUCCAAAAAAGUCCGGAAAUUCAAGCUGUCGAGUGUUGCUUCCGUGACACUGAGCGCCUAGUAAGUACUCCCUCUGUAAACUAAUAUAAGAGUGUUUAGAACACUAUUUUAGUGUUCUAAACGCUCUUAUAUUAGUUUACAGAGGGAGUAGAAAUUUUAUGCGCAGAAUCUGGGGUGCUACAGUUUCCAAACUUUCUGGCUCCCUCAUAGGAGAUGUGUUUCUCUUGCCUCUGUACAUCCAUCCCUAUUUUCAAGUCAAGAUGUAACUGAACAUGAAUUACAUGAAUGAAUAAUGGAAUAGGUUUCUUGUUGAGAUUCAGGUGAGUGUGUGUAGACUGCAAGUCUGCAGCUGGAAUCCCAAUCCCUCAACAGUAUUGCUGGUGAGGGAUGGUUGGUCCACUCCCUUUUGCUCUCUGCCUAUCUAUGGGUACCUUGGAGCCUAGGAUUGAACUGUCGUUUUCUGUGGAGCCACCUGGCGGAAAGGCAAGAUGGAUCUGGAACGCUUCUUUGUGUGUCAAGUAGUAUGACGUAUGCAAUGAUGCUCUGCAUGCUUCACUCGACGGUGGCGGUCGCCGGUCGAUGUACCGCCAUUGUAUGGCCCACCAGUGAUGGUGAUGCUGUGAAUGUUAAGUAUGAGCUUUGUCGACUGUGUAUGCAAUUUAGGAUGGCUUUUUGUGAGAUGAAUAUGUAGUUGUCAGCUGAUUUUGAUCACUUGUUCUUCAAUGUAUG
rnacentral:rRNA from 1 species